rnacentral:rRNA from 1 species
GAUGAACGCUAGCGGCAGGCUUAACACAUGCAAGUCGAGGGGUAGUUGUCUUCGGAUAAUGAGACCGGCGCACGGGUGCGUAACGCGUAUGCAAUCUACCUUUUGCAGGGGAAUAGCCCAGAGACAUUUGGAUUAAUGCCCCAUAGUAUAGUGAGUUGGCAUAAACACACUAUUAAAGUAAAAACGGAAAAAGAUGAGCAUGCGUCCCAUUAGUUAGUUGGUAAGGUAACGGCUUACCAAGACUAUGAUGGGUAGGGGUCCUGAGAGGGAGAUCCCCCACACUGGUACUGAGACACGGACCAGACUCCUACGGGAGGCAGCAGUGAGGAAUAUUGGACAAUGGGCGCAAGCCUGAUCCAGCCAUGCCGCGUGCAGGAAGAAGCAUCUAUGGUGUGUAAACUGCUUUUGUACAGGAAGAAACACUCCCUCGUGAGGGAGCUUGACGGUACUGUAAGAAUAAGGAUCAGCUAACUCCGUGCCAGCAGCCGCGGUAAUAC